AACGCGAAGAACCUUACCUGGGUUUGACAUACACCGGACAGUCGUGGAGACAUGGCCUCCGCAAGGUCGGUGUACAGGUGGUGCAUGGCUGUCGUCAGCUCGUGUCGUGAGAUGUUGGGUUAAGUCCCGCAACGAGCGCAACCCUUGUCCUAUGUUGCCAGCGGGUGAUGCCGGGGACUCAUGGGAGACUGCCGGGGUCAACUCGGAGGAAGGUGGGGACGACGUCAAGUCAUCAUGCCCCUUAUGUCCAGGGCUUCACACAUGCUACAAUGGCCGGUACAGAGGGCUGCGAAGCCGUGAGGUGGAGCGAAUCCCACAAAGCCGGUCUCAGUUCGGAUCGGGGUCUGCAACUCGACCCCGUGAAGUCGGAGUCGCUAGUAAUCGCAGAUCAGCAACGCUGCGGUGAAUACGUUCCCGGGCCUUGUACACACCGUGUCGA
rnacentral:rRNA from 1 species